rnacentral:rRNA from 1 species
GGAUGAACGCUGGCGGCGUGCUUAACACAUGCAAGUCGAACGGUGAAGGCGGAGCUUGCUCUGCUGGAUCAGUGGCGAACGGGUGAGUAACACGUGAGCAAUCUGCCCCUGACUCUGGGAUAAGCGCUGGAAACGGCGUCUAAUACUGGAUACGAGCUGCGAAGGCAUCUUCAGCAGCUGGAAAGAACUUCGGUCAGGGAUGAGCUCGCGGCCUAUCGGCUUGUUGGUGAGGUAACGGCUCACCAAGGCGUCGACGGGUAGCCGGCCUGAGAGGGUGACCGGCCACACUGGGACUGAGACACGGCCCAGACUCCUACGGGAGGCAGCAGUGGGGAAUAUUGCACAAUGGGCGAAAGCCUGAUGCAGCAACGCCGCGUGAGGGACGACGGCCUUCGGGUUGUAAACCUCUUUUAGCAGGGAAGAAGCGAAAGUGACGGUACCUGCAGAAAAAGCGCCGGCUAACUACGUG